rnacentral:rRNA from 1 species
AUUGGGCAUGGGCGAANCCUGNCCACGACACCGCGUGGAGGAAGAAGGCCUUCGGGUCGUAAACUCCUUUUCCCGGGGAAGAAUAAUGACGGUACCCGAGGAAUAAGUCUCGGCCAACUACGUGCCAGCAGCCGCGGUAAUACGUAGGAGGCAAGCGUUAUCCGGAUUUACUNGGGCGUAAAGCGGGUGUAGGCGGCCUCUUCAAGUCGGAUGUUAAAUCUCCUGGCCUAACUAGGAGGGUGCAUCCGAUACUGUUGGGCUGGAGUGCAGUAGAGGGAAGCGGAAUUCCCGGUGUAGUGGUGAAAUGCGUAGAUAUCGGGAGGAACACCAGUGGCGAAGGCGGCUUCCUGGGCUGUUACUGACGCUGAGGCCCGAAGGCGUGGGGAGCAAACAGGAUUAGAUACCCUGGUAGUCCACGCAGUAAACUAUGGACACUAGGUAUGGGGAGUAUCGACCCUCCCCGUGCCGAAGCUAACGCUUUAAGUGUCCCGCCUGGGGACUACGGUCGCAAGACUAAAACUCAAAAGAAUUGACGGA